CCUACGGGAGGCAGCAGUGAGGAAUAUUGGUCAAUGGACGCAAGUCUGAACCAGCCAUGUCGCGUGCAGGAAGACGGCUCUAUGAGUUGUAAACCGCUUUUGUACGAGGGCAAACGCAGAUACGUGUAUCUGUCUGAAAGUAUCGUGAGAAUAAGGCUUGGCUAACUCCGUGCCAGCAGCCGCGGUAAUACGGAGGAUUCAAGCGUUAGCCGGAUUUAUUGGGUUUUAAGGGUGCGUAGGCGGUCGGAUAAGUUAGAGGUGAAAGUCCGAGGCUCAACCUCGGAAUUGCCUCUGAUACUGGUCGGCUAGAGAGUAGUAGCGGUAGGCGGAAUGUAUGGUGUAGCGGUGAAAUGCUUAGAGAUCAUACAGAACACCGAUUGCGAAGGCAGCUUACCAAGCUACUACUGACGUUGAGGCACGAAAGCGUGGGGAGCGAACAGGAUUAGAUACCCCUGUAGUC
rnacentral:rRNA from 1 species